UACAAUCAAAUAUAGAGAAAGUCUAAUCUUUUCUUCUCAAGGAAACCAAACCCAAACCAUCCUCUCCUUUUCUCAUCUUGUUCAAAUGGCAUCUUGGACUGCAAGACAAAACAAAUUAUUUGAAGAGGCACUUGCUAUAUAUGACAGGGACACACCUGACAAGUGGCACAAUGUCGCUAAAGUGGUCGGAAAAUCCGUUGAGGAUGUUAAAAGGCAUUAUGAAGUACUCAAAGAAGAUAUCAGGCGCAUUGAGCGUGGUGAAGUUCCUUUUCCUUAUAAAGGUUCAUGAUUCUUAAGAAUCUAUGAUUUGCAGACUCAACAUCUUAUGUGUAUCCAAAAGUGAUUCGGAAAGGAAUUCGCUUUUCUUGUAAACAAAGUUAUUUAUAGGUUGUGUUGUCAUGUAUAUAUCACCCAAGUGAAAUAAAAUUGUUGUUAAUU